ensembl:lncRNA
GGCAGGUGCCCGGGCGUCCCCGCUCCUCCACCUGCGCCACCUCUGCUGGCGUCUCUUGGCAAGUUUGUCGGGCCCCCUUUUGCGGACAUCCUUGGCCGGUCAGCAGAGUCCAGAUCGGUCAGUAAAUAGAAAACUCGAGCUGGAGGAGGAGGAAGAGGAAGCGUGUGGGAACCUGGUCCAGGAUGGGAGUCUCUUUGAGGGCAGUGGUGGCUUGGACAUCUUUCUUGGCUCUCUCCCACCUCGGUGAGCGAAUCCUCUUCUGCACAGUCCGACAGGGUCGGGCUGGGCUCCGCUGCCUGCCUUGUGGAACCCGCUGGAAGACAGGUGCACGGAGUUAGGGAGUGACUGCCGCCGGGGCUCAGGGCAGCGCAGUAUUUAUUUGGUUUUUCUGUCAGCCCAGCGCUCGUUCUCUGCUGCCUACAUCACCUGCUUCGGCUGAGGUGCUGCGGCUCGUUUGGCACCCUCGCGUGCUGCCAGGUUAAACAUCCUCUGUUUUAGAAGGGAUGUUCUGGAGGCUGGGAAGUCCAGGAUCAUGGUGCCAGCAGAUUCGAUAUUUGAAGUAAACGUUCCCUUCAUUCCAUCUGGACUUGGACCUGUUUAAUUUCUCAGUGUGGUGUGAUGCUCCCCCACCAUGUUUCCACACCUGGAUUGUCAACUAGGGCAAAUUGUCACCAAUGGCAGUAAAACUUGUUUUCUGGGGGUCCAGGUUAACCCACCCUGGUCGUCUAGAUGGAAACAGAAAUGCUACUUCUCUGGAAGCUACCUCUGACACCCUAUCUAGUUUGGAACUAGGUCAAGUCCUCCUGUAAAGGGUGUCAUAAGUACCCAAAUAUUAAUUAUUACAGUGUUCUUCUGUGUUGAAUAUGGAUGUUAUUAUCAUUAUAACAUGAAAAUAUUUGUGAACUGAUGACAUAUAAAAUCAGUUCCCACUCACAUAUCUUGCCUUAACACUAACAUCUAUCUCCGUUCAUCCUGUCGGUAUCUUGUAUCCGUUAAUCUCUACUUUGAUAGUUGGAUGUUAAAACAAUCCAGUGCAAAUUGGUUCCAAAGUAACAUGACACAUAUCACCAGCUAUGCAGAAUUUCAUGAAUUUGAUGAUAGUGAUGUUGAACUGCUAGAACCACGUGCAAAGGUAAUGUCUAAUAAAGAUCCAGCAGAUUUAUAUGAGUUUGUGAUUGAAGAAGAUAUAAUGGACAAUGAUCUCCAAUAGACAAUAAUUUGGAAGUCACAAAACUAGAAAAAGACUCUAAGAAAAUUGAUUUUUUUUUAAUUUUUACAAAAACAUGCUGUUUGUUAUCAUCCUGUAAAAACUGAGUGAAAAUAAAGGUUUUGUAUUAUGCUGUUAUGCAGUAUUUUGGGGAAAUUGUUAUCUGUCUCUCUAAUCAGCACUUGAUUCAUAUUUUUAUUUUAAGAAUGAUUUUAUUAAAUAUUCAAUGAAAUAAACAUUUUCAUUUUUCUUUACCAUUUUUCAAGAUAGUCAUUCAGUUUAUGUUGUGUAAGAAAUCACAUGAAACUUGAUGGCUUAAAACAAGGGAAUUGCUUAUUAUUUCUUAUGGUUUCUGUUAAGA